AACGAACGCUGGCGGCAUGCCUAACACAUGCAAGUCGAACGAGACCUUCGGGUCUAGUGGCGCACGGGUGCGUAACGCGUGGGAACCUGCCCUUAGGUUCGGAAUAACUCCCCGAAAGGGGUGCUAAUACCGGAUAAUGUCUUCGGACCAAAGAUUUAUCGCCUUUGGAUGGGCCCGCGUUGGAUUAGCUAGUUGGUAGGGUAAAAGCCUACCAAGGCGACGAUCCAUAGCUGGUCUGAGAGGAUGAUCAGCCACACUGGGACUGAGACACGGCCCAGACUCCUACGGGAGGCAGGAGUGGGGAAUAUUGGACAAUGGGCGAAAGGCUGAUGCAGCAAUGCCGCGUGAGUUAUGAAGGCAUUAGGGUUGUAAAGCUCUUUUACCCGGGAUGAUAAUGACAGUACCGGGAGAAUAAGCUCCGGCUAACUCCGUG
rnacentral:rRNA from 1 species